rnacentral:rRNA from 1 species
GGUGCGAGCGUUGUCCGGAAUCAUUGGGCGUAAAGGGCGCGUAGGUGGCCCGGUCAGUCUUUGGUGAAAGCGCGGGGCUCAACCCUGCGUCGGCCAGGGAUACUGCCGCGGCUCGAGCACUGUAGAGGCAGGCGGAAUUCCGGGUGUAGCGGUGGAAUGCGUAGAGAUCCGGAAGAACACCGGUGGCGAAGGCGGCCUGCUGGGCAGUUUAGCUGACACUGAGGCGCGACAGCGUGGGGAGCAAACAGG